rnacentral:lncRNA from 1 species
GCGGAACACACACAGGGAAGCCCUCUGAGAACCAUCUAUAGCACCCAGAUUUUACAUUCUGAAAUCACUGCCCCAGAGCAGACCAGAAGCUGGAAGAAGGCUAAAGAGCAUCCAAACUCAAACCAGUCAAGCUUGUCCAGGGGCCCCUUCCCUCCCUUGGGAAGAUCAGCCCAGGAAGGUACCCAGUAAAUUUCCCCCAGUGAGCAACUGCAGAGCUGCACCCAGACCCAGGGAAGGCCUGCCCCCAGAAACACAGAAGCCAGAGGUAAGGAAACUCCAGACCUGAGACCAACUCAACUCCUGCUGGAAUCCAGACACUCACAGAACAUUUCUGGGCUUAUUUUGGCAAAAAAGAUGGCUGUGGAGAAGAAGAUGGAAUGUUUUCAGCUUAGGAGGGCUCUGUGAGCACCGUGCCUUACUCUCUACAUGAUCAGAAAUGUGGGCACCGAAAACAGCAAGAGAAAGUUUGGAGUAGAGAUGUACUGGUGUAGCCGAGGAAGUCUUCCAGGGCACUGGAUACCAGUUCCUCUGCCCAAAUCUGUUACUCAGUGUAUGCUGUCGGGCAAGUCGGAGUUCACGCAGUCAGCAUCUGUCUGUGUGCCAGGCACUACAUCAAGUGGUCGGGUUGCAUUAACUGUACUUUUCAGACCCAGCUGCCAUCGCUCAAGCACCAGGAAGGUAGGCCGGCCCCGAUCCACUGAGGGAAGGAGAACCACGCCUGCUCCCGACCCAGCCGCCAUCACUCAAGCGAUGGGAAGGUAGCCACGUGGGUGCCCCUGAACCCCGAUAAUCCCCACCCCCCUGCACUCUCAGACCUCUUGACUGUGCACAUCUUUGGACCCACUCUGCAAAGACAGAGGUGGUCAUCAAGGGUAUUUUUCUGAGUUCCCAAAUUUGAACAUCUUUAAAGAAAGGGCGUGGGAAACCUGUAAUAGAACAUUGCGGAGUUCAACCAUUCAGAAGGAUGGGGAACUCAAUCUGGGCCUUGCAGCCUGAGGUCAGUCAGCGUCAUGGGGUUCAGCAAUCAGCUAACUGAGAUCAGGGGUCUUACAUCCUCGCUCUGAGCCAUUAAAUGGUAAAUACACUAUAUUGAAAAGUUUGUUCACUGCAGACGUGUUCUGGACUGUCUCUUGAUUUCAAUUUUAAUUCAAAUAAAUUAAGGGCAAUAGACUAGUGACUACCACAGGUGGUCAGUGUCCAAGCUGUGC